UUUAUCGAAUGGUCAUUUAUAUUCAUCUUACCAUGCACGUAUUAUAUAAUCUUUAUAUUAUACCAAAAACAGAUUAGUCUUUGUUAGUUCCUUAAUGCAUGCUAUAGAUUUUGUAUAUUUACCCAAUUAAAAUUCAAUUUAUAUAACCCUAAUUUGUCUUACCCGAACUACUAAAAAAUAACCAUAAUUGAAGUGUGGCGAGUAGUGACGCGAUACCUUGUAAAAAAAGACACGAGUUGAGAAUUGAAAGGUGAAAGCAUUGAUGCAAAGCAAGUAGGUCCAUAUGAGUUGGUGCCUUCUUAUUCAAAUUGUCCUUGUUUCGUUUCUCUACUCAAAACUCUUCAACAUGGAUCUGCUCAUUGCUCAUAUUUUAUUUUAUUUUUAUUUGGAUCCAUAUAGAAGAUUACAAUUAAUUAUGUAUGGAGCUGGAGGUUCUCUGUCAAGGAAGAAAACAAAAUUUAUUUAUCUGUUUGUUUAAACUAUAUAUCCUUCAAUUAAACCUCAUAACGAAAAUGAAUAAUUUGAUUUCUAGUUAUUCAGCCACCUAAUUGACCUGUUAAUUUAUGUUAUCUGUCUCGUAAUUUUUAUGGAUCUAUGCAAGUUUUAAUUUUAUAAGAACAACUAAAAUAAUUUUAUUAAAAUGGCUCCAAAUUUUUUUAAAAAUCCUUUAAAUUUUGAAAAAUGCUUUAAAUUGUAAUCAAAGAGUUGCAUAAAAUUAUUGAGCCCAAAGCAAAUGCACCUCUUGUUAACAUACCAAGACUUCGGGCAUUGUAACAUAGUAAAUCAGCUGAUUGGUUGAACCUGUGGAUCGACCGAACUUACAUUUUUCUGCUAUUUCAAAAUUUACAAUUACACUCCAUAAACUAACAGCAAAUUCGAGUUAAAGCUCUCCAAGCAUAAAUCUUAGGUGUAUAAUGAAUUACCCAUGAAUUAAUGAAAUUCGAAGUAAACAAAAAAUUUCACCCAACAAGGAGAUUAAAGCUUACACACAUCGAUAUACUGAAGUUGAAAUAUAUAAAAAUAAUGAGUUGUAAAAUGGAAAGAACGACAAAGAGGUAUGCAGAAUUGGGGUUGGUGUCCAACAAAGAAGAGACAUGUAAUAUUAUGUUUACUACGUUGGGAUCUUUUCUAAGUGACCCGCUUUUGUUUUGAUGUCUUAUAUGUAUAUCUCACUUUCAUGGUUUCAUCCAUCGACAAUUACAAACCACGCAUCCCCAUUUUACCCUACCAUUUGUUCUACAUCCAUACGUGCGUCUUCAAAUACAUACACUUUAGAUGAUAUGAUUUCAUAUAAACAUGAUACAUAUUAAAUGGAUGUAUUUUUAAUUUUUCAAAUGAAAGGAGAGCGGUGGUUCUAGGAUCAUACACUUCUAUUAUAACUGCGUGUUCACUCUUUCCCGACAACCAAAUUCGUUUUGAAACCUUUGUACAUAUUGGCUAUGUGUAUUCCCAUAAAUAUCAUUUCCACUCAUAAUGUCGUACAUACAUUGAUAGUUAACUCCAAUAAGAUCAUGUAUCAUACAAUUUAUCUGAUCAAAACAUCUUUAAUAUUAAAUUUUUGGAAAAGGAAAAAAAGAAACUAACAAAUUGAAACAUACGUUUUAUGAUGUUCAAUACGAGAAGAAAGAGUCUAGAAAGGAACCCUCAUCUCAAAUUUCCAUAAUUCUUUAAGCAAAAAAAAAAAAAAAUAUAUAUAUAUAUAUUUCCAUAAUUCUCUAACAAAACUAGUUUUACAACCUGCCGGCUUAUAUCAUAAGCAAGGUAGCCAAUGGCUUAGUGCCAAAUAUUUAUGCGUAUAACAGAUUAGUUAUGUAAGUUUAAAACCUUUGAAGUAUAUAGCCUAUUUUGUUUAAGACCAGUCAAUAUCAUAUUAGAUACUGUUUUCCUAAUUAUUCAAGUAUUACUGAGGAAAAAAUUAUUCAAGUAUUACAGUAAACAGGAUUCAAUAUAUAGAUCAAUGUAUUUAUAUGCAUAUUAUGCAGUCUAUAAAACCUAACAAUUUAUGGAACUCUCAUGAUUGAUUUCAGGUACGCGCUAUGAUCAACUGCUUGACAAGUUUUUGUUUUCCUAACCCAUAUGGGUUGGCGUGAUGAUGAUUAGGUCUAGUCACGAUGACAGAAGGAAGUACUAAUUUAAUUAUCUGUUAACAAUCUUUUAGGCCAUUUAGUCUAUAUAUGCCUUAAAGAUCCAUUAAUAGUUUAUGCAAAGUGGAUAUGAUCAAAAUAAAUGCAUUUUUACCAGCCAAAGUAGAAUCUCUACUUAGUUACAAAAGCACAAACACAAAUCAUGUGAUUGAAAAGACUGUCACAAUCUUAGUUAAAAAAUUUAAAAUUCUUAUUUUAUUCCACCUUUCACGUUUCGCUAGUAAAUAGUAAGAUAAUAUUUCCAAGCACUUUAAUCUUUAUAUUCUUACUAUAUAUACAAAGUUAAACGCACAUACAUAUGCUGUAACUCGAGUCAUGUUCGAACAGAUGGAAUAGCCAAAGAUUUUCCUUGUCUGGUAUGAAAUUGAAUACCUGCCUUAUGUAGAAUAGACUCUCCAUGUGCACUGAUUUAUUGUAGAUUCUUUGUUUUCCUACCUCUAUAUAUAUCAUAUUAUAUAUAAAUUUAUUUUUUAAAAAUAAAAGAUAAUCUACUAGAUGGAAACACAGUAGGCCACAUGCUCAUCCUCUUUUUCUCUCCUUUUUUCUUCUCCUGGCCAAGCCAAGCAGUGAUGACAUGUUUAAAGAAUGCUCACAUUUUGGAAUUCUGAAAUAUUUUAAAACAUUUAUGAAAUUAUUAUCUAUGAUAGUUACUGUAAACCACUCUCUGGAUUGAUUCAUUUAGAAACACAUAACAUCGUGGACUUAUUACAUCUGCCAAUAGUAGAGAUCCUUAGCCUUUUGGUUCUCUGAUUCACAAAUCUGUAUGUGUUGCUUUUGCAUGUGAUAUUUUGAAUGAAAGAUAUGGAUAACAUGUGAUCCCUAUGAUCCAUCUUAAUUAUUGAGAUGUUAAAUAGGCAUCUUUGAUAGUAUAACGAAUAAUGAUACCAUUAUACUUUUUUUUUGAUCAAACAUUAUACAUAUAUAUAUAUAUAUAUAUGUAUCUAUAUGUGUGCAAGACGAUGGAGAAGCAUUGGAUCCAUUAGUUUAAUAUUUCUUUAUUAGGUGUCAAUCAUAUGACCAAACCUUUGACUUGAUUCUGAUCCUAUGAUUACCUAUGUGUCAAUCUAUAAGGCAGUUUAGACGAAAAUGUUUUAUUCUUGGAUCUACUCCUCAUAAUCUUCUGAGGAUAAAUAAAAAUAUAAUCAAAUAUUGGUUCUAUUAUAAUUUAAAUAACUUUAAAAUAUUCGAAGAGCCUUCAGAAAAUGUUUGGUGCCAAAAGCAAAGGGGAACAUGGGAUGGACCACACCAAAGAAAAAAAAACUUUCCAAUAAAAUAAGUUUAAAAACAAUAGAAAGAUAAUAUAAACGACAAACAGAUAAUUAAUAGUGCCACCCAACUUGUGGGGAAGUUGUUUGUCUGGGUUUGUUUGAGAAAGGCCAUUAACAAUUUUGACCCAAGUAACUCUACUUUCCCCAGAAUAAUCAUAAAUAAAAAUUACUGAAGUAUACAAUUUAACACUAGAAUAUUGAAAAGUACGUUAAUUAUUUUAAUUUUUUUAUUAAUUAGUUGGUUAAAUGUGAAAAUAAGUAGAAAUUGAAUAUUAUUUCAAUGGCGUAAGUAUUAUUUUCAUGUCAAAUUUUCGAAAACACAAUUUCUUGUAGAUUUGAAUGCAAAUUUGGAGAUUCAAACAUGUUAUGUCUUACAAACCCUUUAAAAACUUGUUAUGUAUAAAUUUUUGGGUAAUUUUGUCAAAGACAUUUUUAGUCAAUGAAACGGUUAUAUUAAUCUAACGGUCCAAAAAACUUAUAAGAGUAGAACCGGAAGUAAAUUCAACGGCAAGCUAAUUAACAAAUACUACAACAACGAGAAGGUAGAUAGAUGUGCUUAAGGAGUGCAAGAACCCGAAGAAAUACUUCAGUUGAAACCCAUAAACUAUUGUUCGAAAUAACAAUUGAUUGAUGAUAGUCGGAAAAAAAACGUUGAUGCACCGUAAAAGUUAAAUGUUGACCGGCAAGAAUUUCUUGUGAAAAGCUCAAAAAUUGUAGGCAACAUCGAGAUUACGAAUUCCUAGCCGACUUGAUUUGACACUAAAAUAAGCAUGAUCAACUCUAAAAUCGACAAAGCUCACAAAAAAAACUAGAUGAAUCUCAAACACAUUGACGAGUAAUUAUCGGUCAGGAAGAUGGUGAGACUAAGUGAAUCUCAAAAGUACCAUUAGAGACUUCAGAACAGCCAAUAUAGUAGAGGUUAACUUGAUAACAUGAUAAAGCGGGGACUUUGGUCAAAUCAAAGCAUAUGACACCGACAUUACCGCGCUGGAGAAUGCGAACUUUGAGGAAACCGAGUCUGAAACACGGAUCCACGAAACCUGUCAAGUUAGUGAUAAGUCAUAGACGGUCUGAGCUGAAGUCGGAGACUUCGGUGUACAAUGAGUGAGUUUGUGUAAUCCUCCAUGAGGAGCCGGUGAGGCAGAGAUGGUGAAGGUCUGAAGAAAUCAGUGAAUUUGCCAGCGUCAGUUGAGAUUUAAUCUCCAGCUGCACUGGACCAAUUCGGCAAUGAGGCUUUUCAAUAAAAGACACAAGUCUAACAGUUCUAAAGUUCAUUAAGGAGAAACCAUUCUGGUGUGCAGAAACGUGUCUUGGCGUGGUCAUCUGGGCCCUUCCGAGGAGCGGAUGACGGAGCAGCAGGUGAGAUCCGGAGAGGAAAUUAGAUUUAUGUGGAAGGACCAACAGAAUUCGCAGGUUGCGGUGUGGUCAAAAGAGAGGAGAGGUGACUUAGGUGGAAGGAAGAGUAGCAGCGGUGAUAGAAGAUGGAAUUGUCGGUGGGCCCUGCGUAAAGCGAAUUUUAUUAAAGAGGUAAAAUAUUCUUCUAUAUUUACUUUAUUGGUAUAUAAAUAAUUAUUUAAAUAAAUAAUAUAAAUUAUUAUUAUUGAAUAAUAUGUUUUUCAAUUUUAAGUUUUUUUUUUGUUUUUUUAGUAUUUUAUUUUAAAUUUUAAAUAUUAUUUUUUUAAUCCUAAAUCUCCUUUCCAAAAAUCUCUCCCCGCAAAUCUAAUCAUUAAGACUAAAUUAAUUAAUAUUAUAAAUAUAAGUAUCUAUUUACUUAUUUAAUAAAACAUUUUGGUCAUUUUUGACAUUUGUAUGUUAUAUUUAUGAUGAAAAGUUUUAGUGUUAUCUUAGAUAAUUUCUCUAAAUUUUGUUUGCAACAAUUACUUAGUAUGCAUAAGAAAAUGAAAUGUUUCCGUCAGAAGGAAAAGAUAUGAAGGUUGUAUGUCUUAAAUUACCAUUUUCUAGCACAUUUAAACAAUCACGCUCCUAAUGCUAACAUCGUUUACCUUCUUGAUUUCUGUUAAAUUUUAUAAGCUUGUAUUGGUGGUAUAUUAGUUAACUAGGAUAAGAUUUGCGUUUUACGAAGAUUGAGUUAUACUAUUAAAAUAUUAAAUAUACUGUAUUGACAAAUUUCAGAUAUAUAUAUGAUCGAAUUGCUUUUAUAUGUAUACAAUUUUUGAUUGUUUAUAUAAUCAUUUAUAUGUUGGACCGAUACAUUUGGAUAUUUUCUUUUACUAACUUACUACUAAAUAAAUUUAUAUAUUUUUGAUUUUGAAAUUACACUAAUUUUCAGAAUAUCAGAUUUUUACUUUCUUUUUGACAUAAAAUGGAAAAUUAAAAUAUUAAAAAAAAAUUACAAAUUGGGUUAGACUUAUAAUUUGAAGUAUAGUUUGGUUAUGAGACAUUGACAACAUAAAAUUUUACAGUCCGACUAUUAUUAUACUUAAGGCCUAAAUAUAGAAAAAUGAUAAUAUUACUUGUUUGAAACUGAUACUUUGUAUAGAAUGAAAGUUAGGUAAACAUGAUAUAUAUCAUUAACUAAUAAGAAAGAUCAUUAUUAAUGUUUUCGUAGACUACGAAAAACAUAUAGAUAGGUGCCAAAGCUUUUUUUUAAUCUUCACUAUAAAUUUUAUUAUUUAAGUUCUAAAGAAUUGUGUUGCAACGAAAAAUAUUUGAUAUAUAAGUUCGUUUGGUAAUGACAAAACAACUUAAUUUUUGUAUUACUCUUUAUAUAAAUUUCUAUAGAUGAGCAAGGCUUAGAAACGAACAAUAUUCUUUUUUAUUGUAUUAACAAAACAAUUUUGAAUAGAUGCGUCUCUUUAAAAUUAAAAAAAAAAAUCAACACAAAAAAAAUCAUUACUUUCUGAUUUAUAGCAAAAGCAUCCAAUACUUAGGCCAUAAUAUAUAGCAAACUUCGAUUUUAGAUGAUGUCUAAUAAUACGGACUAAGAGUAUAUCUUACACUUUAUAAAAAAAUUAUUAUAUUGGAUCACAAUAUAAAUCAACUUUGAGUCGUUUAAAGAAUGUCUCAUUUAAUGAGAUCACCAAGUAUUAACUUAAUGAGAUCGCUGAGUAUUAAAUCUACCAUAUCAUAUACAUUUAUGUUUGGGUUAAUAUAAGUUUUUCUGAUAAUUGGAUUUUAGACUUACUAAUUUUUCAAUUGAUUCUUAUGAUGCCACGUAAGCCAAAUUGUCAUCCUAAUCAAGUGAUAUCUAAGCAAAAAAAAAUUAAUUAAUACAAAUUUGAGGUUAUACCUUUUAAAAUAUUUUUCUAUUAAUAUAUAUGGUAUUAGACUUUCUAAAAUGAUAAAGAAAUCACAAAUUUAAGCCCAUUAAAUGAUGUAUAUUUAUAAAACAAUGAGUGAGUAUAAUCUGAGUACUUGCCAUUUUGGGUAUAUCUGGUACUUGGUUUGUUUUGUAAAAAUAAUAGAAAUUUAUAUUUGUAUUUGGUUUGUGAAAAACAAGUACUUGCAAUUUCAAUUAUUUACUAAAAAUGAAGUAUUUACAAGUAAUUGCCCCAUCUUACUAUUUAUUAUUUCUAAACUAUUUAUUUGAUAAUUAUUUAUAAGUUAUUUGAUAGUAUCUAUUUUAGCUAAUUAAAUUUUGCACAAGAAUAUGAAAAAAGCCUAAUUUGUUGAAAUUUUAAACUAAACAAGUCUCUUAAUUAUUUUAUGAAAAAUAUUUCUUUAUUUCUUAUAUGUUUUAAGUUGAUGCGUGAUAACAUUAAAGACGUAAUGAGAAACGUUUUAAUCCUCAUCAUGUAUAUACAAUAAGAUUUCUCAUAUACACAAUUUAUUCUAUCAUCAUUUAGAUAAAAAAAAUUUCUUCAAGAGUAAGAACUGGUAAUAAACUUACAACAUCAAAUUGUUAAUUUUAUUUUAGUACUUGAUCUUUUUUUUGUAUCUACAAGUAACUGAAAGAAAUGAUCUGCUAUCCGACUUGGUCGAGAUGAAUACUUAAUUUUACGGACAACAUUACGUAUGGGGUGGGUAAUUGUGGCCACCUCUACAUAAAACAGUGGAAGAUAACAAUAGUAACAGUAUAAAAUAGUAUAUCAUGUGGGUUACGGGGCUUAAGUAAUGCCACAAGAAUUCGGCUAAACUUUAGACGUCUUUUUUACUUUUUCGUGGUAUUUCCAACGGCCUCUUCUCCAUUCAUUUUUUAGGGGUUUUACCCUUUAACAAUCCGUCAUCUCCUCAAAUUUUAAGAAGGUAAAAUAGUAUACCCUUAAAUUUGACAGUGGACUGUUUUUCUCCUUUGAACACAAUUUACUUUCCAUUUUACUCUAUCUAUUGAUGACACAUGUCCAAUGAUCGUGUGCUUGUUAUUUUUUGUGCUGCAUUUUAGUACUAUAAUUAUAUUAUCACUUAAAUGUUAUAAUUAUGGUCUUAUAAAGUUAAUUUCAAAUAAUAAUAAUAUAUUCAUUAAUAUUGUAUACCAAAAUAUAAUAAUAUUAAUACAAACGUAUUAUUUCACACAACAAUAAUAAUACAUUGCGGAAAUUUAACAAAAAUUAAAAAUCAUAAUACAAUCAUAAUAUUUUAUAUCAAAAUAAAAGUUACAUAAGCUGAAAUAUUAAGCAUUAAAAAAUAUAUUACAACACUAAUAUUCAGGUAAAUUUGGUCUCGAACCUCCAAGAUCAUCAAAAAGUUAUCGAUAUAAAUUUGGAGCAGUCUCUUCAGAUUCUUGUUUCUGAGUUCUUUUUAUAUGAUUCUUGCUUGUUCAGCUCAGAUAAAGUGGCAAGUGUUAAUAUUAUUGAUGAAGUUUAAAUUUGUCAGCAAAUUUUUAUUUUCUUCUUCCAUUUCUUUUAGAGUUAAUUUUUUUUUUCUUGAUUUUGCAUGCGUAACUGAACUGUCUUAUAUUUUUACCAGAUUCGAGAUACAAGACCGGCACCCCGAAUAAAAGUUAAAAUUGCCAUAAACAAAGAUAUACGUUUUCAACAGUUUUUAGCAUGUAAUCUGCAAAUAAAAAAUAAAGAAGCUCACUUAUUACUUAAAAUGCAUUGAUUGAGCAUAUAUAAAAGCAUUACGGAAAUAAUCGUAUUGAUUAGUUUUAUAUUUGGUAAAUUUUGUAAUGUGAAUUGUAUGUGUUUAAUUGUUAUAUGCAAUUUUAUGUCUUUUAUUUUUUAUUAUAAGUAAUUUAGUGUUAUUACUAAUUCUUUUUAUUAAUUAUGUCAAUACCAUAUAUAAAUAUGUGCUUUUCUAUAAAUUAAAGUUUAAUUAUUAUAAUUAAUUAUUAAUAGAACUGCUGUAAAAUAUAAAAUUUUAAGAAAAAAUAUUUGAGGAUCACCAUUGGAAAAUCAUCCCUUCAUCCUUUUAUUUUCAGGGUGGUCCCAUUCAAAACGAGGAAGCUUGUUGGAGAUGCCCUCAAGUCAAAUAUAAAAGAUUUUUUUUUAUGAACUACCAAUAUAAAAGAAGGCUUAUUUGCCAAAUAACCAAAAAAAAGAAGUGAAAUUAGUUUUUUAGAGAGAUAGUAGAAAAAGAUAGGAAGAAAAAGUAGGAGAGAUAGGAUUUUUUAGUUAGUGUAUUUUUAGCAAAUUUCCCUAUAAAGGAACCCUCAAAGUAGAAAUAGUAAUAAUAAAAAAAAAAGUUAAAGAUGAGAAGGUGGAAUUAAAAAGAGAUUAAAAACGUAUUUGAUCUAUUUAUUUAAACAAGAGGAACAUGUCCAUCAUUUAUAUCAAUGGCCUUGGAGAAAAACAACAUUGCUCCCACUUAGAGAGAGAAAAAGAGUUCUUCACAGCAACUAGAGAAAGGAUCCAAAGGGAUCGCAUUGAUCCUAAUCAAGCUGAGUUAUUCCCGAAUAAUUAUUUUAAACUUUUCUCAAUGGAAAGAUAGAAAAAAAAAAGAUUUGCUUCGUUUUCCGGAUCAUGCGAUCUCUUCGGAUUCAUCCUUUGGUAGCUUCCACCUUGGUCAAAGGGUUUCUACAAAGUUUCGAGGAUUUAGGAUACAUGUCAAGAAAACAAGAAUAUGAGGGGAUACGGCGAAUUCACAGUUCGAUUUCCAUUGGCCACUCAGACUACCUUAAAUGGUAAGAAUAUGUGUCGGCUUCCAGUCUCACGAAAUAAAAUGGUUGAUCUCGGUCGCCGGAUUCCCAUCGUUAUCAAAAAAGAAAAGUUCUUUAGUUUCUAAGAAAUGAUUAUCAGAUCAAUCUAUUAAAAUAUGUGGUAUGAAAGUCAAUAUCUGUAAAACUUUUUCUUACUAAUAUCUACCUUUGAAAUAAUAUGUCACUGUGUAUAUUGAUUUCUCUGGUUAAUAUUUUCUUACAACUUUCGUUGUUUCUUUGUAAAACCACUUAAUAUCAUUCAUUCAACCUUGUCUGGAUACAAUACAAAAAAAGUACUUUUCAUUUUCUUUGAAAAAAAUAUAAAGUACAAGGAAAGAUAGAACUAAUUCAAAUAGGUUUUCCUCAAAAGAUGACAACAAACUCGAAACAAAGUUUAGUGAUGUCAAAAAAGCCUUCCUUACGAAGUCAAACAAUUGGAAAAUAGUCACAUAAUAUGACAUUUAAGCUAACUCUCAGCAACAGAAAACACUGAAAUAUUUUCGAUUGCAUCUUAACAUCUAUUUUCAUAGAAAAAGAGCAUGAUUGUAAAGUCGGUUGUUAAGAGCAUCUUUACAAAAGUACUCUAUUUUGAAGUUUACAAAAUUUUAUAUUGAAGUUUAAAAGUGUUUUUUCCAAAAGAUAAACUUCAAACUUAACUUCAAAAGUAUUUAUAUUUUAUAUUAUUAUCCUUAUAUUUAUCUUAAUUAAUUUAAAUUGAUAAACUUUUAUAAAUAACUAGUCACAUAUGUAAAAUAUUACAACAAUAUUAAUUAAUAAAAUGUUUCAUGAAAUAUAAAAAUUGCAUAGAUAUUCAUAAUUAAAUAUUAAACUACAAUAAAAUUAUCACAUUAAUCCAUAAAACUAUAUAUGUAAUGCUUCUAUACAUGAUCAACUAGUGCCUUUUUAAAUCUAAUUUUAAAAUAUUUUAAACUUUAUUUUAAAUCUUUUAUUUAAUUUAUGUGUAAAAUUUAAAUUUACAAAAAAAAUUAAAAUAUUUAUAAGAUAUAAAAUUUCAAGGAUUAAAACGAUAAACAACAAAAUAUUUAAUAAUCAUAAAUGUGAUGUGUAAUUGUAAAGAUUAAAAAUCAAAUAAAUUAUGAAACUUAAAAUUUGAAGUUUUGAGUUUUGACACUUCAAAUAUAAAAUUUCAAAACUAAAAAUUUCAAAUUUUAAAUUUUAAAUUUUCUCUUUGUAGAGAAAAAUUUUAUGUUUGAAAUUAUAAAAUAUUUUUUUGCAGAUGCUCUAAGUAUAUUUUUUUUUUUUGCAUUGGUAGUUUAAUACAACUUGGAACAGAUACUAACUAAAGAAUUUGGAAGGGAGAAGAAAGAAGGAAAAACAAUACUAAUGAUUAUGUUAGCGUAAUUUAGAAGGCUACGCUCGAUUAUGUUAAGUGAAAAUAUAUGACCAUUGGUAGAAAGUUUCCUUGUAAUUGUUCGAUGCUUUGUGAAAAUUUAAAGAGACUUCCAAUACAAUGAUUUGUCCUCCUUUUAUUGGAAAAAUGCUAACUUUCUAAUGUAAAGUAAUUAAUCGAUAAUGAUAGUCAUCUGGUCAAAAGCUUUGCUUUCUCCAGUGAUCCCUUUUCAAAGGAUUUCAGCCACUCAUUUUCCCCGACGUGCGUCAACCUUCUAUUAGUUAGAUGUAAGAUCUCGGUCAAUGUCAAAUGCAUGUAUAUGAUCUUUCUGCAAAGAAAAAAAAAGGUUUAAUACUUUAUUGUUUCUACGUUAAUAAUUUGUUCUUCUUUCCAAUCUUAUGAAUAUUUAUGCUGAUAAAAGAACAUGCAAGAAACUAUUGAAUUAUAUAUGGUUAAUACCAAAUGCCUGUGUCUAGAAGUGAUAAAAACGCAAACGUAGAAAGGUUAAAGUAUGGUACGAUCGGCAAAUACAUAGAUGCAAAUCAUAACAAAAUGUAAGACUAUAUGUAACUAAGGUUCUACCCUUUUUUUGAGGAAUUGCUCCCUUUGUUUUGCAAGUUCUGAAGACUGAAGCUCUCACACUUCUCCUUUAUCACCUUUCAUUAGACUAUCAUCUGCUUCAGGGAGAAAAGCUAAAUAAUAGAACUUUAGUGAUCAAUAAUAUCAGUUUCCCAACUUCUUAUCAUCAGCACCAUGUCUCAUUUACGCAUUUGAACCAACGUCAUUGUUUUCUUAGGGUUCCUUCUAUCCACACAAUCUCUAGUGAAUUGAUUUUAGAGGGAAAUAUUUUCUUUACAUCUUAAUCAUCCACACCACUCAAUAAAAUCAUAUUGAGCAGUAUCAUGUUGGUUUACAUAUUGCAUAGAUAUAUAACUCACACAUAUAGUGAAAAGAUAAGAAAGUAUGUAAAUCAAUUUUCUAAAACAUAAUGGACUUAAAUCUUAUAACACUAUUAUAUGUUCAAAAUAUUAAACAUUAUAUAUAAAUUAACAAUUUAAGCAAGAAAACAAGAGUAGCGCAGGGGAUGUAUCUUUUGUAGAUUUUGGAAGUCAUACUUAUGGGUCUAGGUUACAAAGUACUGCAUUAGAGACAUUUAUUCGAACAGCAUUUUCCUCUCAAACGAAAAGUCAAAAUUCGUAGCUCCUAUCGUUAACCCUCAUUUCUAGGAUCCUUCUUCAUCAGCGUUGGAUGUGUAACAUGUGUCCAAGGUCGCUUCUUCUCUCGCCUCUGAUGUAGUUAUGAAGGAUUCUAUCUCGCAUGCUUCAAGAGAAUAUCUCCUCUUCAAUAGAGGUUCUACCUGGUUUUACUAGCUCAUUAUCAGAGCCAGUGGGUUCUACUCCAACUGUUUUGGAGUUGCGAAGAACGGUGUUGUUCGUCAAAUGACCAUCCCCCAUCUGUCUGUUACUUUCGGCCCUAUUCUAGAGGUAGUCACUCCAACUGAGAAAUCACAAUUCUCUGCAGCUUCUACUUUUAGUUGGACAGAGCACUCAAAGUCAGAAAUUAAAUUCUCAAGGUCUAUGGUUUCAGUUACUCUGACGAAAUUUGGGAUUUUCUACCCUAUGGUAAAAUUUGGAUGUUCUAAACUUCCUCUAUGGAAAAGAUAGGACGGUUCUUCAACAUGAGCUUUUGAGAGUUAGGACUCACCUUUUUUGUGAGAGAAUGGAAAGCUUCAUUCACUUUUGACCCUCCA